ACUCCUACGGGAGGCAGCAGUGGGGAAUUUUGCGCAAUGGGGGAAACCCUGACGCAGCAACGCCGCGUGAGUGAUGAAGGCCCUUGGGUCGUAAAGCUCUGACAGAGAGAAAGAAAUGCAGGGGAGCUAAUAUCUCCCUUGCUUGACGGUACCCUCAAAGGAAGCACCGGCUAACUCCGUGCCAGCAGCCGCGGUAAUACGGGGGGUGCAAGCGUUGUUCGGAUUUAUUGGGCGUAAAGCGCGUGUAGGCGGUUUUAUAAGUCUGAUGUGAAAGCCCUGGGCUCAACCCGGGAAGUGCAUUGGAUACUGUAAGACUUGAAUACGGGAGAGGGCAGUGGAAUUCCUAGUGUAGGAGUGAAAUCCGUAGAUAUUAGGAGGAACACCGGUGGCGAAGGCGGCUGCCUGGACCGAUAUUGACGCUGAGACGCGAAAGCGUGGGUAGCAAACAGGAUUAGAUACCCUGGUAGUCCACGCCGUAAACGAUGAGAACUAGGUGUCGCGGGUA
rnacentral:rRNA from 1 species